GCGUGAGCUGAUGAAGGCCUUCAGGGUCUGUAAAGCUCUUUUGUUAGGGAAGAACUGGUGCUGAUUAAUUCUCGGGGCCUUGGCGGUACCCAACCAGAAAGCCACGGCUAACUACGUGCCAGCAGCCGCGGUAAU
rnacentral:rRNA from 1 species